rnacentral:rRNA from 1 species
CAGGAUAACGCUGGCGGCAUGCCUAAUACAUGCAAGUCGAAUGGGGAGCUUGCUCCCAUGGCGAACGGGUGAGUAAUACGUAGGUAACCUACCUUUAGGACGAGGAUAACCUUUGGAAACGAAGGAUAAUACUGGAUAGUAUAGAUUUCCGCAUGGAGAUAUAUUUAAAGAUUUAUCACCUAGAGAGGGGCCUGCGGUGCAUUAGCUAGUUGGCGGGAUAAAAGCCCACCAAGGCGAUGAUGCAUAGCCGGACUGAGAGGUUGUACGGCCACAAUGGAACUGAGAACGGUCCAUACUCCUACGGGAGGCAGCAGUAGGGAAUUUUCGGCAAUGGGCGGAAGCCUGACCGAGCAAUUGCCGCGUGAAUGAUGAAGUAUUUCGGUAUGUAAAGUUCUUUUAUCUAGGAAGAAAAAACAAAUUGACUGUACUAGAUGAAUAAGCUCCGGCUAACUACGUGCCAGCAGCCGC